GGGUUGUGAGGUUAAGCGACUAAGCGUACACGGUGGAUGCCCUGGCAGUCAGAGGCGAUGAAGGACGUGCUAAUCUGCGAUAAGCGCCGGUAAGGUGAUAUGAACCGUUAUAACCGGCGAUUUCCGAAUGGGGAAACCCAGUGUGACUCGUCACACUAUCAUUAACUGAAUCCAUAGGUUAAUGAGGCGAACCGGGGGAACUGAAACAUCUAAGUACCCCGAGGAAAAGAAAUCAACCGAGAUUCCCCCAGUAGCGGCGAGCGAACGGGGAGGAGCCCAGAGCCUGAAUCAGCAUGUGUGUUAGUGGAAGCGUCUGGAAAGGCGCGCGAUACAGGGUGACAGCCCCGUACACAAAAGCGCAUGUGCUGUGAGCUCGAUGAGUAGGGCGGGACACGUGGUAUCCUGUCUGAAUAUGGGGGGACCAUCCUCCAAGGCUAAAUACUCCUGACUGACCGAUAGUGAACCAGUACCGUGAGGGAAAGGCGAAAAGAACCCCGGCGAGGGGAGUGAAAAAGAACCUGAAACCGUGUACGUACAAGCAGUGGGAGCACAGGUUUACCUGUGUGACUGCGUACCUUUUGUAUAAUGGGUCAGCGACUUAUAUUCUGUAGCAAGGUUAACCGCAUAGGGGAGCCGCAGGGAAACCGAGUCUUAACCGGGCGUUAAGUUGCAGGGUAUAGACCCGAAACCCGGUGAUCUAGCCAUGGGCAGGUUGAAGGUUGGGUAACACUAACUGGAGGACCGAACCGACUAAUGUUGAAAAAUUAGCGGAUGACCUGUGGCUGGGGGUGAAAGGCCAAUCAAACCGGGAGAUAGCUGGUUCUCCCCGAAAGCUAUUUAGGUAGCGCCUCGUGAAUUCAUCUCCGGGGGUAGAGCACUGUUUCGGCUAGGGGGCCAUCCCGGCUUACCAACCCGAUGCAAACUGCGAAUACCGGAGAAUGUUAUCACGGGAGACACACGGCGGGUGCUAACGUCCGUCGUGAAGAGGGAAACAACCCAGACCGCCAGCUAAGGUCCCAAAGUCAUGGUUAAGUGGGAAACGAUGUGGGAAGGCCCAGACAGCCAGGAUGUUGGCUUAGAAGCAGCCAUCAUUUAAAGAAAGCGUAAUAGCUCACUGGUCGAGUCGGCCUGCGCGGAAGAUGUAACGGGGCUAAACCAUGCACCGAAGCUGCGGCAGCGAACGUAUCACCCAAGACAACUUUGCGGAGUUGACGAUUGACGGAGCGAAGCGACGUCAAAGCGUUCAUUAAAGUCGAGUUGGCUUAGGGAUACGUUCGUUGGGUAGGGGAGCGUUCUGUAAGCCUGUGAAGGUAUGCUGUGAGGCAUGCUGGAGGUAUCAGAAGUGCGAAUGCUGACAUAAGUAACGAUAAAGCGGGUGAAAAGCCCGCUCGCCGGAAGACCAAGGGUUCCUGUCCAACGUUAAUCGGGGCAGGGUGAGUCGACCCCUAAGGCGAGGCCGAAAGGCGUAGUCGAUGGGAAACGGGUUAAUAUUCCCGUACUUGGUGUUACUGCGAAGGGGGGACGGAGAAGGCUAUGUUGGCCGGGCGACGGUUGUCCCGGUUUAAGCGUGUAGGUGUGUGUUCCAGGUAAAUCCGGUUCACUUUAACACUGAGGCGUGACGACGAGGCACUACGGUGCUGAAGCAACAAAUGCCCUGCUUCCAGGAAAAGCCUCUAAGCAUCAGGUAACAUCAAAUCGUACCCCAAACCGACACAGGUGGUCAGGUAGAGAAUACCAAGGCGCUUGAGAGAACUCGGGUGAAGGAACUAGGCAAAAUGGUGCCGUAACUUCGGGAGAAGGCACGCUGACAUGUAGGUGAAGUGAUUUACUCAUGGAGCUGAAGUCAGUCGAAGAUACCAGCUGGCUGCAACUGUUUAUUAAAAACACAGCACUGUGCAAACACGAAAGUGGACGUAUACGGUGUGACGCCUGCCCGGUGCCGGAAGGUUAAUUGAUGGGGUCAGCGCAAGCGAAGCUCCUGAUCGAAGCCCCGGUAAACGGCGGCCGUAACUAUAACGGUCCUAAGGUAGCGAAAUUCCUUGUCGGGUAAGUUCCGACCUGCACGAAUGGCGUAAUGAUGGCCAGGCUGUCUCCACCCGAGACUCAGUGAAAUUGAACUCGCUGUGAAGAUGCAGUGUACCCGCGGCAAGACGGAAAGACCCCGUGAACCUUUACUAUAGCUUGACACUGAACAUUGAGCCUUGAUGUGUAGGAUAGGUGGGAGGCUUUGAAGCGUGGACGCCAGUCUGCAUGGAGCCGACCUUGAAAUACCACCCUUUAAUGUUUGAUGUUCUAACGUGGACCCGUAAUCCGGGUUGCGGACAGUGUCUGGUGGGUAGUUUGACUGGGGCGGUCUCCUCCUAAAGAGUAACGGAGGAGCACGAAGGUUGGCUAAUCCUGGUCGGACAUCAGGAGGUUAGUGCAAUGGCAUAAGCCAGCUUGACUGCGAGCGUGACGGCGCGAGCAGGUGCGAAAGCAGGUCAUAGUGAUCCGGUGGUUCUGAAUGGAAGGGCCAUCGCUCAACGGAUAAAAGGUACUCCGGGGAUAACAGGCUGAUACCGCCCAAGAGUUCAUAUCGACGGCGGUGUUUGGCACCUCGAUGUCGGCUCAUCACAUCCUGGGGCUGAAGUAGGUCCCAAGGGUAUGGCUGUUCGCCAUUUAAAGUGGUACGCGAGCUGGGUUUAGAACGUCGUGAGACAGUUCGGUCCCUAUCUGCCGUGGGCGCUGGAGAACUGAGGGGGGCUGCUCCUAGUACGAGAGGACCGGAGUGGACGCAUCACUGGUGUUCGGGUUGUCAUGCCAAUGGCACUGCCCGGUAGCUAAAUGCGGAAGAGAUAAGUGCUGAAAGCAUCUAAGCACGAAACUUGCCCCGAGAUGAGUUCUCCCUGAGACUUUAGGUCUCCUGAAGGAACGUUGAAGACGACGACGUUGAUAGGCCGGGUGUGUAAGCGCAGCGAUGCGUUGAGCUAACCGGUACUAAUGAACCGUGAGGCUUAACCUUACAACGCCGAAG
rnacentral:rRNA from 1 species